CAGUCGAGGGGCAGCGGGGAGGUAGCAGUACUUCCGCCGGCGACCGGCGCACGGGUGAGUAACACGUAUGGAACCUGCCCGUAGCAGGGGGAUAAGCGGAAGAAAUUCCGUCUAAUACCGCGUAAUAACUCCGAGAGGCAUCUCUUGGGGUUUAAAGGGUAACACCGGCUACGGAUGGCCAUGCGGCGCAUUAGCUAGUUGGCGGGGUAACGGCCCACCAAGGCGACGAUGCGUAGGGGUUCUGAGAGGAAGGUCCCCCACACUGGUACUGAGACACGGACCAGACUCCUACGGGAGGCAGCAGUGAGGAAUAUUGGUCAAUGGGCGCGAGCCUGAACCAGCCAAGUCGCGUGAGGGAAGACGGUCCUAUGGAUUGUAAACCUCUUUUGUCGGGGAGCAAAAGACGUCACGUGUGGCGUUCCGAGAGUACCCGAAGAAAAAGCAUCGGCUAACUCCGUGCCAGCAGCCGCGGUAAUACGGAGGAUGCGAGCGUUAUCCGGAUUUAUUGGGUUUAAAGGGUGCGCAGGCGGAAGAUCAAGUCAGCGGUAAAAUUGAGAGGCUCAACCUCUUCGAGCCGUUGAAACUGGUUUUCUUGAGUGAGCGAGAAGUAUGCGGAAUGCGUGGUGUAGCGGUGAAAUGCAUAGAUAUCACGCAGAACUCCGAUUGCGAAGGCAGCAUACCGGCGCUCAACUGACGCUCAUGCACGAAAGUGUGGGUAUCGAACAGGAUUAGAUACCCUGGUAGUCCACACAGUAAACGAUGAAUACUAAUUG
rnacentral:rRNA from 1 species